AACUCUUGCACUUCAGUGACGGUCAGAGCGGCACUGUUUUUCACUCAGUCAUCGAUCGGUUCAGCAAAACAUCCGGGGCGACUGCCAGUAUUCAAAUUCAGGUUUUUCUCUCCUAAUUCUAGUACAAAUAAGUCUUCCAAAUUAUCUGGAAGGUUGAGGAACAGCUGACAAAGCCUGAAGAAAACAAGGCAAACAAAUGCUUUUCACAACCUGGACCUCAGAAUUGUUUUCAAACACAGCUCCUUUGGACUCCAGAAAAUUAGAGUCACAGAAUCAUAGAAUAUUUCAAGUUAGAAGGGACCCAUAAGCAUCAUCAAGUCCAACCCCCUGCUCCUUGCAGGGAGUUACAUCUUUCAAGAUAGUGAGUAAAAUGUAUUAUGUAUAUACUUGUGUAUGAUUUUACAUGAAAACUAAUUACAGGAUU